rnacentral:ncRNA from 2 species
CAAGACACAUCACGCCUUGGUUCCGGCUUGGCCGGAUGAAACGGGAACGCGGUGCGCCUUCGGGCCAUGCCGCGACUGCCCCCGCAACUGUAAGCGGCGAGCGACGGCGCACUGGCCACUGGGCAUCCCCCGGGAAGGCGCGCCCGAGCCACGACCCGCAAGUCAGGAGACCGGCCCGGGCGUCACCCAUGUC